rnacentral:rRNA from 1 species
GACGAACGCUGGCGGCGUGCUUAACACAUGCAAGUCGAGCGAUGAAGCUCCUUCGGGGGUGGAUUAGCGGCGGACGGGUGAGUAACGCGUGGGUAACCUGCCUCAUAGAGGGGAAUAGCCUUCCGAAAGGAAGAUUAAUACCGCAUAAGAUUGUAGCUUCGCAUGAAGCAGCAAUUAAAGGAGUAAUCCGCUAUGAGAUGGACCCGCGUUGCAUUAGCUAGUUGGUGAGGUAACGGCUCACCAAGGCGACGAUGCGUAGCCGACCUGAGAGGGUGAUCGGCCACAUUGGGACUGAGACACGGCCCAGACUCCUACGGGAGGCAGCAGUGGGGAAUAUUGCACAAUGGGGGAAACCCUGAUGCAGCAACGCCGCGUGAGUGAUGAAGGUCUUCGGAUUGUAAAACUCUGUCUUCAGGGACGAUAAUGACGGUACCUGAGGAGGAAGCCACGGCUAACUACGUGCCAGCCGCCGCGGUAAUAC